rnacentral:rRNA from 1 species
CUUUCCUCCUUUAUUCAUCCUUUUUUAAUAUUGCACAAUUUUUUAAACCCUGAUGCAUCGACUCCUCUUGAAUGAAGAAUUAUUUCGGUAUGUAAACUUCUAUCAUCAUUUAAGAAAAUGACGGUACCUGACUAAGAAGCCCCGGCUAACUACGUGCCAGCAGCCGCGGUAAUACGUAGGGGGCAAGCGUUAUCCGGAUUUACUGGGUGUAAAGGGAGCGUAGGCGGUUUAGCAAGUCAGAAGUGAAAGCCCGGGGCUCAACUCCGGGACUGCUUUUGAAACUGUUGAACUAGAUUGCAGGAGAG